GCACGAUUGAAAUACAGAAAUUCAUUUCACGGUUCAAUUGAUUUUCGUCAUCCUGUGAAUUUAAAUGGGCCUGCUAUGGCUGAUAACUUGUACUUGAUCUGGCCUAUUUGUAUGACGGAUUGGGGCCAGCUAGAUGGCGAAUAUGGUCGAUAGCUAUAUUUCCUUUCCUGUGUACCAACUGUUUCCCUAUAACGGUCAACCAUCCGUGCAUACACAUAUAUUGUGUGCAUAUCCCAGCAAAUGGAAAGUACGUACGUAUAUACACG
rnacentral:misc_RNA from 1 species